GACGAACGCUGGCGGCGUGCUUAACACAUGCAAGUCGAACGGAAAGGCCCUGCUUUUGUGGGGUGCUCGAGUGGCGAACGGGUGAGUAACACGUGAGUAACCUGCCCUUGACUUUGGGAUAACUUCAGGAAACCGGGGCUAAUACCGGAUAGGAGCUCCUGCUGCAUGGUGGGGGUUGGAAAGUUUCGGCGGUUGGGGAUGGACUCGCGGCUUAUCAGCUUGUUGGUGGGGUAGUGGCUUACAAAGGCUUUGACGGGUAGCCGGCCUGAGAGGGUGACCGGCCACAUUGGGACUGAGAUACGGCCCAGACUCCUACGGGAGGCAGCAGUGGGGAAUAUUGCACAAUGGGCGGAAGUCUGAUGCAGCAACGCCGCGUGCGGGAUGACGGCCUUCGGGUUGUAAACCGCUUUCGCCGGUGACGAAGCGUGAGUGACGGUAAUGGGUAAAGAAGCACCGGCUAACUACGUG
rnacentral:rRNA from 1 species